rnacentral:rRNA from 1 species
CAAGACUGCGAAGUGGAGGCAAAUCCCUAAAAGCCAUCUCAGUUCGGAUUGCAGGCUGCAAUCGCCUGCAUGAAGCUGGAAUUGCUAGUAAUCGCGGAUCAGCAAGCCGCGGUGAAUACGUUCCCGGGCCUUGUACACACCGCCCGUCACACCAUGAGAGUCGGGAACACCCGAAGUCCGUAGUCUAACCGCAAGGGGGGCGCGGCCGAAGGUGGGUCCGGUAAUUGGGGUGAAGUCGUAACAAGGUAAC